GGGCCUGUAGAUCAGUGGAAGAUCGCUUGACACAUUAAAAGCAAUCCGCUUUGUGCAAGUUUUGCAUUCAAGAGGUCACGGGUUCAAUUCCCGUCAGGUCCA
rfam:Archeaon Loki Lokiarch_contig000321, whole genome shotgun sequence.